GACGAACGCUGGCGGCGUGCUUAACACAUGCAAGUCGAACGCUGAAGCCCUUUCGGGGGUGGAUGAGUGGCGAACGGGUGAGUAACACGUGGGUAAUCUGCCCUGCACUCUGGGAUAAGCCUUGGAAACGGGGUCUAAUACCGGAUAGGACACAUCGCCGCAUGGUGUGUGUGUGGAAAGUUCCGGCGGUGCAGGUUGAGCCCGCGGCCUAUAAGCUUGUUGGUGGGGUGAUGGCCUACCAAGGCGACGCCGGGUAGCCGGCCGGAGAGGGUGACCGGCCACACUGGGACUGAGACACGGCCCAGACGCCUACGGGAGGCAGCAGUGGGGAAUCUGGCGCAAUGGGCGAAAGCCUGACGCAGCAACGCCGCGUGGGGGAUGACGGCCUUCGGGUUGUAAACCUCUUUCGACCGGGACGAAGGGUGACUGACGGUACCGGUAGAAGAAGCACCGGCUAACUACGUGCCAGCCGCCGCCGUAA
rnacentral:rRNA from 1 species